GAUGAACGCUGGCGGCGUGCCUAACACAUGCAAGUCGAGCGAUUUACUUCGGUAAAGAGCGGCGGACGGGUGAGUAACGCGUGGGUAACCUGCCCUGUACACACGGAUAACAUACCGAAAGGUAUGCUAAUACGAGAUAAUAUGCUUUUAUCGCAUGGUAGAAGUAUCAAAGCUUUUGCGGUACAGGAUGGACCCGCGUCUGAUUAGCUAGUUGGUAAGGUAACGGCUUACCAAGGCGACGAUCAGUAGCCGACCUGAGAGGGUGAUCGGCCACAUUGGAACUGAGACACGGUCCAAACUCCUACGGGAGGCAGCAGUGGGGAAUAUUGCACAAUGGGCGAAAGCCUGAUGCAGCAACGCCGCGUGAGCGAUGAAGGCCUUCGGUCGUAAAGCUCUGUCCUCAAGAAGAUAAAUGACGGUACUUGAGGAGGAAGCCCCGGCUAACUACGUG
rnacentral:rRNA from 1 species